rnacentral:rRNA from 1 species
AACCCUUGAUCUUAGUUGCCAUCAUUCAUUUGGGCACUCUCAGGUGACUGCCGGUGACAAACCGGAGUAAGGUGGGGAUGACGUCAAAUAAUCAUGCCCCUUAUGACCUGGGCUACACACGUGCUACAAUGGACGGUACAAAGAGCUGCAAGACCGCGAGGUGGAGAUAAUCUCAUAAAACCGUUCUCAGUUCGGAUUGUAGGCUGCAACUCGCCUACAUGAAGCUGGAAUCGCUAGUAA